rnacentral:rRNA from 1 species
AGCGAACGCUGGCGGCAGGCUUAACACAUGCAAGUCGAACGCCCCGCAAGGGGAGUGGCAGACGGGUGAGUAACACGUGGGAACGUACCCUUUGGUUCGGAAUAACUUGGGGAAACUCAAGCUAAUACCGGAUAAGCCCUUAUGGGGAAAGGUUUACUGCCGAAGGAUCGGCCCGCGUCUGAUUAGCUAGUUGGUGAGGUAAUGGCUCACCAAGGCGACGAUCAGUAGCUGGUCUGAGAGGAUGAUCAGCAACAAUGGGACGGAGACACGGCCCAGACUCCUACGGGAGGCAGCAUUGGGGAAUAUUGGACAAUGGGGGCAACCCUGAUCCAGCCAUGCCGCGUGAGUGAUGAAGGCCUUAGGGUUGUAAAGCUCUUUUACCCGGGACGAUAAUGACUGUACCGGGAGAAUAAGCCCCGGCUAACUUCGUGCCAGCCGCCGCGGUAA